rnacentral:rRNA from 1 species
CACGUAGGGCGCAAGCGUUGUCCGGAAUUAUUGGGCGUAAAGAGCUCGUAGGCGGUCUGUUGCGUCCGCUGUGAAAACUCGGGGCUUAACCCCGAGCCUGCAGUGGAUACGGGCAGACUAGAGGUAGGUAGGGGAGAAUGGAAUUCCCGGUGUAGCGGUGAAAUGCGCAGAUAUCGGGAGGAACACCGGUGGCGAAGGCGGUUCUCUGGGCCUUACCUGACGCUGAGGAGCGAAAGCGUGGGGAGCUAACAGG